rnacentral:rRNA from 1 species
UACGUAGGGUCCGAGCGUUGUCCGGAAUUAUUGGGCGUAAAGGGCUCGUAGGCGGUCCGUCGCGUCGGGAGUGAAAACUCGGAGCUUAACUCCGAGCCUGCUUCCGAUACGGGCAGACUAGAGGUAGGCAGGGGAGAGCGGAACUCCUGGUGUAGCGGUGAAAUGCGCAGAUAUCAGGAGGAACACCGGUGGCGAAGGCGGAUCUCUGGGCCUUGCCUGACGCUGAGGCGCGAAAGCUAGGGGAGCGAACAGG